rnacentral:rRNA from 1 species
UAGCUAGUUGGUGAGGUAAAGGCUUACCAAGGCGACGAUCUGUAGCGGGUCUGAGAGGAUGAUCCGCCACACUGGAACUGAGGCACGGUCCAGACUCCUACGGGAGGCAGCAGUGGGGAAUUUUGGACAAUGGGGGCAACCCUGAUCCAGCCAUGCCGCGUGAGUGAAGAAGGCCUUCGGGUUGUAAAGCUCUUUCGGCCGGGAAGAAAUCGCAUGGGCCAAUACCCUGUGUGGAUGACGGUACCGGAAUAAGAAGCACCGGCUAACUACGUGCCAGCAGCCGCGGUAAUACGUAGGGUGCGAGCGUUAAUCGGAAUUACUGGGCGUAAAGCGUGCGCAGGCGGUUUUGUAAGACAGGCGUGAAAUCCCCGGGCUUAACCUGGGAACUGCGUUUGUGACUGCAAGGCUAGAGUACGGCAGAGGGGGGUGGAAUUCCACGUGUAGCAGUGAAAUGCGUAGAGAUGUGGAGGAACACCAAUGGCGAAGGCAGCCCCCUGGGUCGAUACUGACGCUCAUGCACGAAAGCGUGGGUAGCAAACAGGAUUAGAUACCCUGGUAGUCCACGCCCUAAACUAUGUCAACUAGGUGUUGGGUGGGUAAAACCAUUUAGUACCGUAGCUAACGCGUGAAGUUGACCGCCUGGGGAGUACGGCCGCAAGGUUAAAACUCAAAGGAAUUGACGGGGACCCGCACAAGCGGUGGAUGAUGUGGAUUAAUUCGAUGCAACGCGAAAAACCUUGCCUACCCUUGACAUGCCAGGAACUUGCCAGAGAUGGCUUGGUGCCCGAAAGGGAGCCUGGACACAGGUGCUGCAUGGCUGUCGUCAGCUCGUGUCGUGAGAUGUUGGGUUAAGUCCCGCAACGAGCGCAACCCUUGUCGUUAAUUGCCAUCAUUUAGUUGGGCACUUUAACGAGACUGCCGGUGACAAACCGGAGGAAGGUGGGGAUGACGUCAAGUCCUCAUGGCCCUUAUGGGUAGGGCUUCACACGUCAUACAAUGGUCGGUACAAAGGGUUGCCAAGCCGCGAGGCGGUGCCAAUCCCAGAAAGCCGAUCGUAGUCCGGAUUGCAGGCUGCAACUCGCCUGCAUGAAGUCGGAAUCGCUAGUAAUCGUGGAUCAGCAUGUCACGGUGAAUACGUUCCCGGGUCUUGUACACACCGCCCGUCACACCAUGGGAGCGGGUUCCGCCAGAAGUAGGUAGCCUAACCGCAAGGGGGGCGCUUACCACGGCGGGGUUCGUGACUGGGGUGAAGUCGUAACAAGGUAGCCGUAGGGGAACCUGCGGCUG